UACACUCCUGCGGGAGGCAGCAGUGGGGAAUAUUGGACAAUGGGCGCAAGCCUGAUCCAGCCAUGCCGCGUGAGUGAUGAAGGCCCUAGGGUUGUAAAGCUCUUUCACCGGUGAAGAUAAUGACGGUAACCGGAGAAGAAGCCCCGGCUAACUUCGUGCCAGCAGCCGCGGUAAUACGAAGGGGGCUAGCGUUGUUCGGAUUUACUGGGCGUAAAGCGCACGUAGGCGGACUAUUAAGUCAGGGGUGAAAUCCCGGGGCUCAACCCCGGAACUGCCUUUGAUACUGGUAGUCUUGAGUUCGAGAGAGGUGAGUGGAAUUCCGAGUGUAGGGGUGAAAUUCGUAGAUAUUCGGAGGAACACCAGUGGCGAAGGCGGCUCACUGGCUCGAUACUGACGCUGAGGUGCGAAAGCGUGGGGAGCAAACAGGAUUAGAAACCCGUGUAGUCCCAUGA
rnacentral:rRNA from 1 species